CCUUGCACAGUAACCUCACUUGGAGUUGGAAGAAUCAGGAUAAAUAUAUCCUGACCACAUAUACUGCAUUCUCCCUCUGGAGAGGCAAUAGGUCAGUAAAAAGCAGGAAGCGCAGGACAGCUCAAGGGAGCUUCCUAGGAAAUGAAAGGACAAGGAAAUGUUUCCUGACAGUUUAAAAAGGAUUAAGGUGCUGACUUCAGAAAGUCCUUACUUGAUGAAAGCAAACUAGAGUGCUUCCUGCCAGAAGUGAAAAACUGAGAUACACUUACAGAAAUGUAAAUAUAAGCGACAAAGAAUUGCAGGAAAAGAAGUGCAAAGCACUGACGAAUAUGACUCAUUUAACUGACUAUUGCACGAACUCUGCCUCUCACUGGUCAUGGGAUUUACUCCAGCUGAUACAGACCCGUGACAGGAACAUCUGCAACUUUGGGUAUAGUGCCAGAGUAGCUGAUGGACACAGAUCUCCUUGGCAAGCCAUUAGCGUCUAUGGCCUGAGUCAUAGAUAACUAUGUAUUUAUAAAUAUAUAUUUUUAUAUAUUUAUAUAAAGAGAGAGCGUGCCACAUAUAUAUACAGCUAUAUAUAUAGUUAGAAAGCAAUCAUUCACCACUCACUGACCAAGGCACAGCACAACACGACGCCCCACCAGCACCACAAGAUCUCACCCCACCAACUGAUGCACUGCAACCCCCAAGCAGCAGCCAGGCCCCAGCCAACUCCCCACAGCUUUAUGGCCUUCUGCGUGGUGUCACGUGGUGCAGAAUGUCCCCCAGCCUAGUUCAGGCACUGCCCUGUCCUGCAGCAGCAACCAAACAUCAGCGUGAUCUUAAUGCUGUUUGGGCUGAAACCAGGACAAGAUGACAGCAUUACUCUGAGCAUAACUGUUUAGCUCCAGCUCUUCUUCAGCUACUCUAAGGAAACUGUACUUACAUUUAAAAUCUGAGGUGUUUUGGAUGUACUCUUAAAAACAGAAAACCUGACAUUUGACUCGGAAAUGUACUAGGCAAGAAAAAAAAGGAGGGAAAAGAACCAGUAGCUCCUGUGGCAGUCUUGUAUCCUCUUAACAUUUUCUUGUAACUAUACUGUUUUAUAGAUGAAACUGUCAUUGCAAAAAUGACAAAUCUAACACAUAAAAGAACAAAAAUGGGCAAUAAAUCACAAGCGACACUCCAGCCCACUGGAAUGCACUCAGUCAUUGCAGCAGAAAGUAGGAAGAUUUCCACUUGCUUUAUGUUCUGCUCAUCAGUGUGGGAAGAUCAGGAUCCCAGAACAACUGGUAAAAGAAAUGCUGGGGCUACAGUAUAGCAACAAGCUUGGAGUUUCACUUUUGAGAGUCAGAUCAUUCUCACUUAGCCUUCCCUAUCAUGCUAGAAUAGCCCCAUAUUUCACAGCAAAGAGGCUUUGGCUUUACACCAUACAGGUGUUUGCUCUCCCUUUGAUAACCAUGCACAGCUCCCACUGAUGCCAAUUAUGUUCAGAAGUAUCAAUAAAACAAUAAUAUCUUAAAACUGUGCAUUCAACCAGAAGAAAUGUCUACAUAUACCUUUGUUAUUACAAACAACACUGCAGUGUCAACUAGGAAUUCAUGGGGUCUCCAUUACUCAAAGCAGCACUUCAAGUUUCUACACAUCAGAAUACAUCUAAGCCAAUGCUACAAGGUAAAGGACCAAGAAAAAUGAACAUGGAUGUCUGUCCAGUCCAUGCAGCUACACCAUAAACUACAUCAGUUCUGUCGAACAAACUAGAUAAACAGAAAGAGUCUCUCAAAUUCACGCUUUUCUUUCUGUGCUAAUAAACAAACUGGAGUAAUAAAUCUUGAGUAAAUCCCUUGACAUCAAGAAAAAUCCAAUAUUUGAGCUGAAGUUUUUCACUUUUACACUGGAAUGGCUGAUAACAGAAUCUGACCCAGAUGGUGAUAAAUGAAUGUUACGUAUCAAAUUCACAUCUGAAGAAAUCUGUAUAUUUUAUUAUGCAGCUAACUUUAUAAUGGAGGAGAAACCCACUGGAACUACUUUUACGAUUCCUUUUUAGCAUGGUUUUAAAAUAUGCUGCUUAAGGUAUGCAGGGUAAAAUUCAUAGGAGCUUUAAGAUAGUCACUAUCAUUAAAAAAAUACUUUUAAUUCUUAAGUACCAGUCAUUCUACAAAAUUUCUGACAUAUCUUAUUCUGAUUUGUACCAAAAACUUUAUCUAUGAAAGCUGUACAAUACAGAACUCCCACUUCCAGCUGCAUGUGUAAUUAACAAUGGGUAGUAAAAAGGGCGUUCUAUGGAAAUCAGUCUUAAUAACAUCUAGCAAAGUGGUGGCUGCUCCACUAAAUCACAAAUGGAAAUACUUUAAUUUAAAUAUAAGUAGCUCAGACAUAUUUCAACAAUUAAGAAAAUGCCUGAAAGAAUGAACAUCCUAAUCACAAUUCCAAGCAUGGUAUUUUAUCAGAAUGCAGACAGAAUAAAAUAGACGAGGGCCAAGUGAAUACCAAAAAUGGCCAAUUUAAGCCUAUUACAUGAAAUGUCUCUUAGAAAAUAGUGAAGCAAAAUGCAGAUGCUUUCAGGCUUUCAUGGAAACAUGAAUUUGUUAUUCAAAAAUAAAAGUCAAUAUCAUAGUCACUUCUAAGUGGUAACUUCUUGAAAAAUCCUAUAAACGCUUUGAAAUUGUACUGUAAAAGUGUAUUAACUGUAUUUGUUUGUGCAAACAUGGAGACUGCAUCAUGAGGACUAUUAUGCUUCAUGUACACACAGUCUUCUCUCCUGGCCAAGAGAUAAUAAAAACUUUCCCGUGCUACAAGCUCCAAAUGAGUACUAAAGCAAGGAUUGGCUGUAGAGAUAUUUAGGGCAAACAGCAGGUAACCCUAUGGCUGGCUAUAUGAAAAUGAGGGAGAAAGGAAAGACAAAGAGGAACUAAUGCAUUGUUUAUAAACUUAUUCAUCAGUAAGCGCCAGGAUGUGUCGAUGAUGGAGACAGUGUGUGAGAGUUGGCUUGAAAGCCAAGCUGUAUUAUCACGGUUUUCUGAAGAAGAAGACCUUUCAAAAAAAGUAACAAUGUUCAGGAAUGCAGCCAAGAUUUUAAAUUUCCAUUAUGCAAGAAGCAGCAACUUCCCACCAGAGAGAAAAAAAGAAAAUCCCAACCCUGCCCUCCUGACCACAAAUUACACAGCUCCUCAAAUGUGAAAAAAUAAACAUAAUUUCUUGAUCACAAAUGUGAUUACUCUGGUGUUCAACAGAGAAGCAAGAAAAGACAUUAAGUAGAAAAUGCUCUGCAAUUUUAUUUAACAGCUACACCUAUAAGCCUUGUGGUAGCUACAGCUGGCAACAGCCCUAUGACUUUCACAUAAAGAAGCCUUUUUACAGGCAGAUCCUUUCCACAGCCUGGGAGUCUGCAGGUGAGAAGGGGAGGGAGAAUUAGCACCAUUCCCUGUUCUCUCAUGCCUACCCCAGCUCCCGUGCAUCUCCUUUAAGAAAGUCUUUGGGUUCCUCAUGGGCACUGCAGGUACCACAAUUGCCUUACUACCCUGAGGGCUCCUCCACAGUCUGCCUCUAGAAAAGCACGAGUUCCUCUUACUAUCAUGGGAACAACCACGUGGGCAGGGUGAAAGGAUUUACACUGCCUGUUGUGGCAACUGAGAAGGAAGAUGAAGGCUCUUCCCUUUUCAUCACAUGGUCUUUAUAGAAUGAGAAGGGCUUGUAAAAAUCAGGGGAACUAUUUCAGAGACUUUUUAAUACAUUUCACAGACAGCCAUGAAUGCUGUUACGUAUCAUUUGAUACUUUGUCCAUAUACAACUAGUUUCUGACUGUAAUGUUAUAAUGUGAUGGAAGGCACAGCGAUAGUAUGGGGUGACGCCAUCCUAAAUUGCAGCAAAUGAGAAUAAGCCCAAAUGCAGCAGCUAUAGACACAUAAACAAAGGAAGAAAAAAUCUGCUUAUCUUUGGAAGGCCUCAGGUACGCAGGGAUCUCCAGAGAGAUCCCCUUGCCUCCCCUGCCAACCUUCAAUGAGGUCUGGGAAGGGAUGGAUCCUGGCUCCAUCCCUUCCAGUCACUCAGGUGCAAUGCAUGCACCUGAGCUCCCCUGGGCUGGCCCUGCCUUCCCACCAGGUGCUCAACCACUGGUUCAGGCCAUGUCUUAGUAUUUCUGCUACACUGGCAUAAUAGAUUUAUUUAUUUAAGAAAAAAAAAUAAAAAACUCACAGAUCUGACAGACAAUCAGAAUGCCAAAGCAAUGCACCACCAGCAACAAAGUAAGCAAUACUUUGCUAUAUGUUAGCUAUGAUACGUGUUUGUUAGCUAUAUCUCUGUUCUCUCAUUGUUAACUACUGUAGAUAUUUCCCUCUUGCAGAACAGAUCUGUCCUCAGGAGGUCCCUGUAGCUACUCAGAUCUGCAUUAAAACAAAUUAAAAAAAGGAAAAAGAAAGAGAUGAAAAACAUUUACUUCUCCAUCUGGUAAAAUAUAUAAGCUUAUUUGAAUCCUGAGAUGAAGAAAUAAAAAUUGCUGAAGUUCAAGAGAUGCUGUUAGUCUAUUCAAAGCUUUAUUUGUACUCGCAAGUAAAUCACUGAGCUAUAAAAAUGUAUGUGGACAGAGCUUCCAACAGAGCACUAACAAGAACAAGCUAGUACUUCCUAGCAUCAUACAUCCAUUAUUCUGGUUAGUUCUUAUGUUAUUCCAUAAUACAAAUUUACAUGCAACAAUUUCGUCCUGAUUGACACAGCAACUUGGGCAUUAGGUAUUUUAGCUUUGUCAUAUAAAACACCUAUCACAACAUUAAAAUCUGUUCUAGACACGCCACUAAUCCUCUUUUCUUGAGGUGAAUCAUUUGCCUGUCACUUGUUGAAUACAGGAGAAUCCAGAUGCUAAGGAUCUGAACUCCCCUUGACCCUCAGGCACCCCAGUAGCAAUAUUCACACACUAGCCAAGAUUGCCAGUGUUCUUGAGAAAGACAAUGAUUUUAUCACCUGUUAAAAAUGAUGAUGGACUACGUCUAACUUCCCCUCUUGCAUUUUCCAAACUCAUCUUAAGUUUUAGGUAUUUUUUUUAGUGCAUUUUCCUUCUGUUCGAAAAUAAAAGGGUUUGCAAAUGCCAUAAAACACGUUUCUUUCCCAACAAAAUAAAUAAUUUCCUCGAGUUUGUAAAGAUUUCAGUACAUUCUGAACUGGCCUUCAAGCCCCACUCAGCCCAGUAAUUGUCUCACUUCUACACUGAGUUUAUUUGACAAUUAAAUUUAGAAACCUUACAGCUCUGUUCAUUUUCAUGUCUCACACCCUAGGUUAUUUUAAGACUUGAAUUCAUGUAUGACAUAACGAGGGAAUUGGUUUUACUUCUUCUUAAAUUUUAUGCAUUUUGAAAUGUUGCCAGAAAAUGUGACCUUCCCAACACACCGCAGUAAAAAAAACAAAAACAACCAACAUUAAUGCAAGGUCUUUGUUCUAAUUCAUACAUGCAAUUUGCGAACCUUAAAUAAAUGACUUAAAUAUACUAGCGUGUUUAUCUAAUAACAGAAAAAAAAAAAGCAAGUACACAGGUAGAUAUCUAUAUUUAAACUAUGCUUGAAUUUACAAAUGGAGUGAGGCUAGAUCUCUUCACAUUAGGCUUGAAAGAACA